rnacentral:rRNA from 1 species
GAUUAACGCUAGCGGCAGGCCUAAUACAUGCAAGUCGAACGGCAGCACGGGUAGCAAUACCUGGUGGCGAGUGGCGCACGGGUGCGUAACGCGUAUGCAACCUACCUAUAACCGGGGAAUAGCCUUCUGAAAGGAAGAUUAAUACCGCAUAAUAUCACUGGACGGCAUCGCCCGGUGAUCAAAACUCCGGUGGUUAUAGAUGGGCAUGCGUGACAUUAGCUAGUUGGUGAGGUAACCGCUCACCAAGGCUACGAUGUCUAGGGGGUCUGAGUGGAUGAUCCCCCACACUGGUACUGAGACACGGACCAGACUCCUACGGGAGGCAGCAGUAAGGAAUAUUGGACAAUGGGCGCAAGCCUGAUCCAGCCAUGCCGCGUGAAGGAUGACGGCCCUCUGGGUUGUAAACUUCUUUUAUACGGGAAUAAACCCCUCGAUUCUUCGGGGGCUGAAUGUACUGUAAGAAUAAGGAUCGGCUAACUUCGUGCCAGCAGCCGCGGUAA